GUUCAUCUCUACAUUUGACUCCAUGGUCCUGUACUGGUGAAUGUGGCACCGCUGGAGCGGUACUGCAGGAACCAUUGCUUUCCCAGAGCAGAUCACAAAAAGGUUCUUCUGAAGCAGUUUUUUAUGAAGGAGCAUUUGUAUGGACACCCGUGUUUUAGAUAAGAAACUGUGUGGUGAACACCACUGGGUAGUUAACAUGAAAAUGAUUCAUUCCCACAGCACUGGCAAGUGCAGAGAUUUCCAAGCCCAGGCCCAAGCACGGAGGUUUUUUAAGCCUUAUUGAAGAGAGUGGGAAGUCUGUUACAGAGAGUAAAAGGAAAGGCUCAUUCACCAAAUCUGGAUUGAGAAGGGCAGUAUGUAACUGUAGUAGCAGGGACUUCCCCCCAGACUCAUGGUAAGAGAAGUUAUUGCUUCAACAUUUCUGAUAUUCGGGAGUGUUCCCCUAGAGCUACUUCAGAGUGUUUAUGAUAAAACUAAUACUAGAAUUAUGCUGACAUAUUGGAGGAGCAAGUGGUGAAUAUUAGGUAUGCAGCUAUGAAAUUUUAGAAUUGCUGCAUUGUACACUGUAUGGCAAUAUUGCAUGACAAUAUGAUAACAUUAUAUUGUAUAGCAGUUGUUAUAUAUAUUUUGCUAUGUCAUUUUACUACAUUGACACAAGAUCUGUGUAGAGGUUAUAAUACCUAUUUUAUCCUUGGAUUUUCAUCCUCUUUUUUGUAUCACAUAUUGUGCAAACCCUGCUUCUCCCUGUUGUCAUUUAUACUUGAUAUUAAAUAUAAUCCUGACUUCACUGAAAAUAAGAUUUUUUUUUUUUGCUCAACU
ensembl:lncRNA